UGGGAGCUUGCUCCUGGAUUAGUGGCGAACGGGUGAGUAACACGUGAGUAACCUGCCCUUAACUCUGGGAUAAGCCUGGGAAACUGGGUCUAAUACCGGAUAUGACUCCUCAUCGCAUGGUGGGGGGUGGAAAGCUUUAUUGUGGUUUUGGAUGGACUCGCGGCCUAUCAGCUUGUUGGUGAGGUAAUGGCUUACCAAGGCGACGACGGGUAGCCGGCCUGAGAGGGUGACCGGCCACACUGGGACUGAGACACGGCCCAGACUCCUACGGGAGGCAGCAGUGGGGAAUAUUGCACAAUGGGCGCAAGCCUGAUGCAGCGACGCCGCGUGAGGGAUGACGGCCUUCGGGUUGUAAACCUCUUUCAGUAGGGAAGAAGCGAAAGUGACGGUACCUGCAGAAGAAGCGCCGGCUAACUACGUGCCAGCAGCCGCGGUAAUACGUAGGGCGCAAGCGUUAUCCGGAAUUAUUGGGCGUAAAGAGCUCGUAGGCGGUUUGUCGCGUCUGCCGUGAAAGUCCGGGGCUCAACUCCGGAUCUGCGGUGGGUACGGGCAGACCAGAGUGAUGUAGGGGAGACUGGAAUUCCUGGUGUAGCGGUGAAAUGCGCAGAUAUCAGGAGGAACACCGAUGGCGAAGGCAGGUCUCUGGGCAUUAACUGACGCUGAGGAGCGA
rnacentral:rRNA from 1 species